rnacentral:rRNA from 1 species
UACGUAGGGGGCUAGCGUUGUCCGGAAUCAUUGGGCGUAAAGAGCGUGUAGGCGGUCCGGUAAGUCCGCUGUGAAAGUCGGGGGCUCAACCCUCGAAUGCCGGUGGAUACUGUCGGGCUAGAGUGCGGAAGAGGCGAGUGGAAUUCCUGGUGUAGCGGUGAAAUGCGCAGAUAUCAGGAGGAACACCUAUUGCAAAGGCAGCUCGCUGGGACGCAACUGACGCUGAGACGCGAAAGCGUGGGGAGCAAACAGG